rnacentral:rRNA from 1 species
AGUGAACGCUGGCGGUAGGCCUAACACAUGCAAGUCGAACGGCAGCACAGUAAGAGCUUGCUCUUACGGGUGGCGAGUGGCGGACGGGUGAGGAAUGCAUCGGAAUCUACUUUUUCGUGGGGGAUAACGUAGGGAAACUUACGCUAAUACCGCAUACGACCUACGGGUGAAAGCAGGGGAUCUUCGCACCUUGCGCGAUUGAAUGAGCCGAUGUCGGAUUAGCUAGUUGGCGGGGUAAAGGCCCACCAAGGCGACGAUCCGUAGCUGGUCUGAGAGGAUGAUCAGCCACACUGGAACUGAGACACGGUCCAGACUCCUGCGGGAGGCAGCAGUGGGGAAUAUUAGACAAUGGGCGCGAGCCUGAUCCAGCCAGACCGCGUGGGUGAAGAAGGCGUUCGGGUUGGAAAGACCGUUUGUUGGGAAAGAAAAGCAGCAGGUUAAUACGCCGCUGUUCUGACGGUAACCAAAGAAUAAGCACCGGCUAACUUCGUG